AAAAACACCGGUUCUCGUUCGAUCACCGAAGUUAAGCAUUAAAUAAAGCCAGGUCAGUACUUAGAUGGGGGACCGCUUGGGAACACCUGGUACU